UUUUUUUUUUUUUUUUUUUUUCCCCGAGAUGGAGUCUCGCUCUGUGGCCCAGGCUGUAGUGCAUGAGCUGAGAUCGCGCCACUCACUCCAGCCUGGGUGACACAGUAAGACUCCGUCUCAAAAAAAACAAAAAAACAAAAAACACGAAAAGAAAAUGAGCAGGUGGGUCUUUCCCAGGUUCCCUGCGGCCUGUGGCCCCACACAUGAUGGCCCUCAGCUCAGCCCCAGCCCCCACGGCAGCUGUGGCACCUCGAGCCGCCCAAGAUAGCUGCCAUGUGCUGGGCCUGAUGCUGGGCAGGGCCUGGAAUCCCAGGUGUGAAGAUGGGCCUGGGUGGUGGCUGCUGGAUCUUGUCACAGACGUGCCACCUGCUUCCCAAAACUGGGCACCAGGGGUCUGAGAGGUCGCUGUGGGAAGAUCGCUUGUUCCAGGGACCCUGCAGGGUCUUACACGCGUGGCUUAGCGUUUGCUCCUGGGUGGUGAUGAUGCCCCAUCCUGUGUGGCCCCGACCCUGGUCCCCCAGAUGGUAAACGGCCUUGGGACGGCCUGGUCAGGAGACACCGAGAGCUGUCCCUGCUGCAGAGCCGAGGGGCCGCCACACUGGGCGUCCAUCGGUCUUCUCGCAGCACCACCUGUGCUGGUGGACUGGGAAGGGUGUGGGUGACCCUUGUGACCCACCAGGGUCUUGUGACUGUUUAAUGCCCUGGCCCAGGUUCUACCAGUCCUGCUGCAGACCAGCCCUGCUCAUUCCUCCCUCUGGCUGUGAAGAUGGAAGCCCACGGGUUGGCUGCCUCGGGCCAGGGCUGCCAUGCAGGGAAGCCUGGGGAGGGCUGUGGCACUGCCCCCAUGGGCCGUGGUAUCUCCCCAGGGCCCUGCCUCUCUGGAUCUCCUGCACGCACCCCGGCCUCACCUGAAAACCCCACGUACAGCAAAGCGGCGGUGUCUUGGGGCAGGCUGGGCUCUGCCUGGGGCACCAUGGGUGGCGUAUGCCUCAGUUUCCCCAGUCUUGAUGAGAGGGAGCUGGGGUUGCUACUGGUCACUCAGGCCCCAGGCAGACCAAGGCUCACUUCUGUCCACUCCCUGGCCCCCUUCCCAGGAGUCCCACCGGUUCCUGGCUGGGGUCUGGAAUCUGUUCUCCCAGGACAGGACCUGCCCUCCCCUCCACUUUCUGCCUGCAAGCUCUGUGGUCCUUCCCUGCCUUGAGCCCAGGGGUCCCUGUGCUCCUGGUCCAGCCUCCCUGCUCAGGGCCGAGGGCACCGGGAGGAUGGUGGUUGCAGAAGAAUAUGGGAGGCCGGGCGCGGUGGCUCAGGCCUGUAAUCCCAGCACUUUGGGAGGCCGAGGCGGGCGGACGACUUGAGGCUGUGCACCAGCACUGGACACAGAAUCGAAGGGAACAGGCGGGACAUACCCUGACUGCACCAGUGCAGCGCGUCUCGGGAUCCUGGGUUUUUAGAGAUCACGCUGCGGGGGAGGGCUGGUGCCGUCCUGGGUCGGAGGCCGGAAGCGAGGCAUAGGCAGAAACUUGCAGGAA
ensembl:lncRNA